rnacentral:tRNA from 1 species
AUGGUUGGUGGUUUAAUUAAAAAUCUGAUUUGCAUUCAGGAAUAAGACGAUAAGUCUUUGAAUCAUA